rnacentral:misc_RNA from 1 species
GAGUGCUGGAUGGACCUCCUCCCACGC